ensembl:lncRNA
GUAAUAUGUGGUACUGGAAUAAUAAUAGAAGUAUAUAUUGUGGAAAAGAAUUGAGAGUUCAAAAAUAACCUACACAUUUGUGGGCAUUUGAUUCACUGGGGAACUAAUAGUCUUCUCAACAAAGGGUGCUGGGACAAUUGUAUAACUACAUGCAAAAAAAAUGAAAUUGGAUCUCUGCCUCACAAACACAAAAACUGAUUCACAAUGGAUCACAGGCCUAAAUAUAAAUGCUGAAACUACAGUAAUUUUAGAUAAAAGCAGGUGUAAAUCUUGAUGACCUUGGAUUAGGUAAUAGUUUCUUAGCUAUGAAACUAAAACUGUGACAAAAUUUUUAAGCUGGAUUCCAUCAAAAUGGAAUAUACAAAACUUUUGUAUGUUCAGCUUUAAAAAGGAAGGAUAUUCUGACACAGGCUACAAUAUGGUGAACUUUGGAGACAUUAUGCCAAAUGAAAUAACCCAAUCACAAAAGGACUGUACAUGGUACAGUUUCACUUAUAUGAGGUACCGGGAAUAGUAAAAGUCAUAGAGACAGAAAGCAUCAGUGGUUGCCAUAGGCGGGAAAGGCAGAUGGCCAUUUGCAAACCAGCCAAACCUGCCAAUGUCUUGAUCUUGGAUAUCCAGCCUCCAGAAAUAUGUAAAGUACAUUACUGUUAUUUAAGCCGCCCAGUCUGUGAUGUUACAUCAGCCGUACCUGACUAAUAACAUAUUUUGGUACUGAGAAGUGGGGUGCCACUGUAACAAAUACCUUAAAAAUGUGGAAGGGGCUUUGCUAGUGGGUAACGAAUAGAGGCUUCCCAGGUGGCACUAGUGAUAACCCUCCUGCCAUCACAGGAGACACAAAAGACUCAGGCUUGAUCCCUGGGUAGGAAAGAUCCCCUGGAGGAGGCCAUGGCAAACCCACUCCGGUAUUCUUGCCUUGAGAAUCCCAAAGAGUUGGACAUGACUGAAGCAACUUAGCACGACACAGCCCACAAGUAUACAGGAGGUGAGAGAGAAAUUGAAGGAGUUGUUAAGCAAAAAUGAACCAGAAUUUGAAGAUUUGGAAAAUUCUUAGCUUAUCUGCAAUACGGUAACUUGCAAGAAAAAUGUAUUGGUGAUCAUUUUGUAAUAUGUUUAAAUGUCAAAUCACUAUGUUGUACACCUGAAACUAACAUGAUAAUGUACAUCAACUAUACUUCAGUUUUAAAAAAAGAAAUACACAUUUGGUCAUUCAGACAACUAAAAUAUAUCUCUCAUAUAUGUAUGGUCUUCAUCCAAGGUUCUUGACACAGCUCCCAAAACCCUUGGAAUUUCCUGAGGGACGAGAGCAACAGGAACUUCUGUUGUAGUGUUCAGUCCUUGUUCCUCAGUUCCUGAAAUCACUUUCAGAGCCAUAAAGGUGAAAUAGUAUCCUGUUAUUUAAGUGUUUAUGUUAAUGAGGUGACUUUUGGAAAGCCCUAAGGAUGGAGGUCGUUAGCAAAGGACUCAACCAGGGAGUACAGGGUUGGAACUUCAGCCCCACCCUCUUACCUCCAUGGAGGGGAGAGAAACUAGAGGCUGAAUCAGUUGCCAAUGACCAAUGAUUUGAUCAAUCAUAUCUAAGUAAUGAAGCCUCCACAACACUCCACAAGGACAGGGUUCAGAGAGCUGCCUGUUGGUGACUUCCUGGAGAAUGGGGAGAGUGGCAAGCAGGAGGGGGCUUGUUAUCUCUGCGCUGUCUCCCCAUGCCUUGCCCUGUGUGUCUCUUCCAUCUGGCUGUUCUUUUUAUAAUAAAUCAGUCAUCCAGUGUGUAAAAAUUUUUCUCUGAGUUCUGUGAGCCACUCUGGCAAAUUAAUAAAACCC